rnacentral:rRNA from 1 species
AUUGAACGCUGGCGGCAGGCUUAACACAUGCAGUCGAGCGGGGGAAGGUAGCUUGCUACUGGACCUAGCGGCGGACGGGUGAGUAAUGCUUAGGAAUCUGCCUAUUAGUGGGGGACAACAUCUCGAAAGGGAUGCUAAUACCGCAUACGUCCUACGGGAGAAAGCAGGGGAUCUUCGGACCUUGCGCUAAUAGAUGAGCCUAAGUCGGAUUAGCUAGUUGGUGGGGUAAAGGCCUACCAAGGCGACGAUCUGUAGCGGGUCUGAGAGGAUGAUCCGCCACACUGGGACUGAGACACGGCCCAGACUCCUACGGGAGGCAGCAGUGGGGAAUAUUGGACAAUGGGGGGAACCCUGAUCCAGCCAUGCCGCGUGUGUGAAGAAGGCCUUAUGGUUGUAAAGCACUUUAAGCGAGGAGGAGGCUCUUUUGGUUAAUACCCAAGAUGAGUGGACGUUACUCGCAGAAUAAGCACCGGCUAACUCUGUGCCAGCAGCCGCCGCAG